rnacentral:ncRNA from 1 species
UCCAGGUUCUCUUGGGCCUACAAUAUGGGAAAACUCACCUGUGCUGGUGAAGGGCAGGACUGAACAGACAGCUCUCUCUCAGUUCUGUGGGCGGUGGUGCAUGGUCAUUCUAGGUAGGGUAAUUUGCCUGGUUAAUUCCCAUAGCGAAUGAGAGUCUGGCUUGCUGAGUAGUUACGUGACCCCUGAGCAGUCAGCAUCCGUCUUCUUUGAGGGACAGUGAACAUUCAGCCACCUGAGACUGGGCAAUAAGAGUUCCGUGGUGCCCUUAGAGGCCACAAGCAUGCUACACUGCCUGGCUCAGCUUGUGCCUACACUCCUCUGUCAGGUGCAUUAACCCACUGAGCCCUAUUCAUGAUGGGGAUUGGGGAUUAGAAUUCAUCCCCAUGAAAGAGGAAUUCCCAUUAAAGGCAGGUCAUAAUCUUGCAUUGAUUAAGUCC